GAUAGAGGUCGCGGAUGCGAUCAGUACCUCUCGAUUUACGCCGGCAAGCGGUCGGGAGGGAAAGGCAAAUCCGCCGAAGCUGCGUUUCGGUUGCCGCCGCUGCGCUGCUGGGACUGCGUCGAACAGACGCAGGACUGUCACAUGACGCCAUGUGGAGCGCUAUC
rnacentral:ncRNA from 1 species